CUGGCUCAGGACGAACGCUGGCGGCGUGCCUAAUACAUGCAAGUCGAGCGGACAGAAGGGAGCUUGCUCCCGGAUGUUAGCGGCGGACGGGUGAGUAACACGUGGGUAACCUGCCUGUAAGACUGGGAUAACUCCGGGAAACCGGAGCUAAUACCGGAUAGUUCCUUGAACCGCAUGGUUCAAGGAUGAAAGACGGUUUCGGCUGUCACUUACAGAUGGACCCGCGGCGCAUUAGCUAGUUGGUGGGGUAAUGGCUCACCAAGGCGACGAUGCGUAGCCGACCUGAGAGGGUGAUCGGCCACACUGGGACUGAGACACGGCCCAGACUCCUACGGGAGGCAGCAGUAGGGAAUCUUCCGCAAUGGACGAAAGUCUGACGGAGCAACGCCGCGUGAGUGAUGAAGGUUUUCGGAUCGUAAAGCUCUGUUGUUAGGGAAGAACAAGUGCGAGAGUAACUGCUCGCACCUUGACGGUACCUAACCAGAAAGCCACGGCUAACUACGUGCCAGCAGCCGCGGUAAUACGUAGGUGGCAAGCGUUGUCCGGAAUUAUUGGGCGUAAAGGGCUCGCAGGCGGUUUCUUAAGUCUGAUGUGAAAGCCCCCGGCUCAACCGGGGAGGGUCAUUGGAAACUGGGAAACUUGAGUGCAGAAGAGGAGAGUGGAAUUCCACGUGUAGCGGUGAAAUGCGUAGAGAUGUGGAGGAACACCAGUGGCGAAGGCGACUCUCUGGUCUGUAACUGACGCUGAGGAGCGAAAGCGUGGGGAGCGAACAGGAUUAGAUACCCUGGUAGUCCACGCCGUAAACGAUGAGAAGCGUAAGUGUUAGGGGGUUUCCGCCCCUUAGUGCUGCAGCUAAACCCGCAAUUAAAAA
rnacentral:rRNA from 1 species